GACACCCAACUUCUUCAAAAGAUGGUGAUGAAUCGGCCCUGUGAGAGACUUGGUGAACAGAUCUGCGAGGUGAGAAGAGGAGCGAACAUAUGAGAGUGAAAUUAGGCCGGCAAGGAACUGUUGUCUGACGAAAUGACAGUCUAGUUCGACAUGUUUAGUUAUUUCGUGCAAUAUGAAUUGCUGUCUGACUGUCCGAAUGAAGAGGAACAAGAAGUGAAAUUGGGGUAGAAAGAUAAUCAAAUAAGCGUACCAACCAAGUGAGCUCAGCCACAACUCGUCGCAUUGAACGGUAUUCAGCUUCUGCAGAAAUGAGAGAAAUGGAUGUUUGUUUUUUUGAUUUCUAUGAAAUUGGGGAUGAGCAAAGAGAGAUGUAGAACCCACUGACGGAUUUGCACGAAUUAGGGCAAGUGGCCUGGUCGGAAUCACAAAAUGCAAGGAGCUGGUAUGAAGGUGAGGAAGACAUAAAGAGCCCAAGUCCAGGAUCCUUCAAUAAAUAGCGGAGGACACGAAGUGCAGCAUUGAUAUGAGGUUGUCUAGGAUCCUAUAUGUACUGGCUAAGGUGUUGUAUAGUGUAGGAUAAAUCCGUUCUUGUAUGUAUCAAGUAAUUUAGCUUGCCCAACAAAUAGUGAUACAAAGUCGGGUAAGGGAUAGAGUCACCAGUCUGAGCAAGUAGGCAAGCAGAUGGGUCAAGAGGGCAAGAAACAGGCGACUUGUGGAGAGAAUCAAAUUCAUGCAGUAAAUCAAGGGUGAAUUUCCGCUGAGACAGAAUCAAACCAUGAGACUCUCGUAGAACUUCCAUUCCUAAAAAAUAAUGUAAGUGUCCAAGAUCCUUGAUUCUGAACUCCUGAUGUAAAAAUUCUUUCAAUUCAGUCAAUUCCUUUGUAUCAUUACCUAUUAGUAAUAUAUCGCCGACAUAUACUGCCACAAUAGAGAUAGAUAAAUAUGUCCGUUUAAAAAAACAAAGAGUAAUCGUUCAAUAAAUAUGUGUAGCCCUUGAAAUUAAGAGCAGUAGUAAGUUUAGAAUACCAUUGCCUAGAAUCUUGACGAAGUCCAUAAAUGGACUUCUUCAACUUACAAACAUGGUUAGGAGAAGGUGGUGUAAAUCCAACUAGGAAUUUCAUAUAGACUUCUUCGUUUAAAUCACCAUGUAAGAACGCAUUGUUCCCAUCCAAUUGAUAAAGACCCCAACUUUUCUUAACUGCAACAACUAAAAUGCAUCUGAUGGUGGCCAUCUUGAUCACUGGGGAAAAGGCCUCAUUGAAGUCUAUCCCCUCUCUAUGUAUAUCACCUCUUACCACCAACCUAGCCUUUAGCCUUUCCACACUACCAACCUGCAAGGUAAAGCCUUUCUACCUGGGGGUAAUUCUAUAACUUUCCAAGUUUUAUUGAGCUCAAGAGCAGCAAUUUCCUGUUCCAUGGCUUCCUACCACCCUGGGUGAUGUGCAGCCUGUGAAUAACUAAAAGGUUCAUGCAUAUUAGAUAGAGAAUUGAGCAUAUGUUGGUUAGUGCUGGAAAGAUUACUAAAGGACAAGGAUGGAGGAGAGACUGGGGCAAGAAAACAUGUAGUACUCACAUAUGAGAGGUGAAGAGCAUUACAAAUGUAAUCCUUGAGGUAUGUAAGAGGAUUGUGAGGUCUGUUAUAUUUUCUAAUUAGAGUAUCUACCAUAGGUUGAGAAACAUGUGAAGACAGUGAAGGAAAAUGGAUACUAGAAGAGGAUCAGCCUGGUGAUGAUCCAACUGGUAAUGGGCUGUUAGGGAAUAGAGUUGUACCAGGGUAAGAAGUUGGAUAAGAAACAGUAAGAGUAGGAAAAGAAGAAACAGUAGAGGUAGGAGAAGGGGUAGAAGUAGAGUAUUGGUUGUCACAUGAAACCAAAAGUGAGGAGGAUUCUGAGUUUAAGGGAAAUGAAUUGUUCAAUGCGGCUGUUGGCAGAUAAGAAGCCCCUAUAGAAUCAGAUUUGAUAGAAGCAAAUAUAAAAAGUUCCUCAUGAAAUAUUACAUCUCUAGACACAAAAACUUUUAAUGUCUUCAGAUUAACCACCUUAUAACCCUUUUUGCCUUGUGGAUAGCCUAAAAAUACACAAGGAACAUCCCUUGAGUCAAAUUUGGAUCUAUGUCUUGAAAGGGUGGAGGCAAAGCAUAGACAACCAAAACAUCUUAAAUUAGAAUAGCUAGGUUUGGUUUGAAAAAGGACUUCAUAAGGAGUCUUGAACUUUAAUACUCUAGAAGGGUAUAUGUUGAUCAAAUAAGUGGUUGUGUGCAGGCAGCCCCCCCCCCCCAAAAAAAAUGAUAUAGGUAAAUGAGAUUGAAACAAUAGAGCUCUAGAUGUCUCUAGUAAGUGCCAAUGUUUUCUUUCCACAACUCUAAUCUGUUGUGGAGCGGACACACAAUUGGUUUGAUGUAUAAUCCUUUGGGAAAGAAAAAUAUCUGUUUGAACAAUUUCAGAACCCAAUUCAAAAGCAUUAUCUGAUCUGAUUAUCUUAACUUUUGUAUGAAAUUGCCUCUCUACCAUUGCUAAAUAAGAUUUUAACACAGUGAAAGCAUUUGACUUGUUACUUAGUAAGUAGGUCCAAGUCCCUCUACUGUAGUCAUCAACUAUAAUGAGGAAAUAUUUAUAACCAUCAUAGGUAGAAUCCAUAUAGGGUCCCCAAGUAUCCACAUGGAUUAGUUCAAAGAUCCUUUUGGUUGAUAUAGAACUUGAAGAAAAAGGAAGCUUGGAUUGUCUAGGCAUAGGACAAAUAAGACAAGGAGUAAAAUGAGUAAAGCAUGAAGGAACAGAAAUAUCAGAAAUUUUCUUCAUAUUAUUCAAAGACAUAUGGCCUAACCUAUAAUACCAUAGCUUUCCUUUUUACAUUGGAAUCAGAAAAAGCAAAACAAGAAUUAAAAACUGGAACAGAAUGUAAACUCUAUCUAGGUACAUAAGUACUAAACAUAGGGAAACUUUUAAAAACUGGGGUUGUAAGUCUUGAGUAUUUGAGAAUGAAGAGUCCUCAUGUCUCCUUACCAAUCUCCAGAGGACUCUUCAGUGAAGGGCCCUGUAGCAGAAAAUAAGAAUCAGGAGUGAAAAGAACAUACUGUUGGAGUUGUUUGCACAACUUGUGCACAAACAACAGAUUGAAUCUAAAGGAAGGCACAUACAAUAUAUUGUGCAAAACUAGGUUUGGUAAUAAUUCAACAGAACCUGAAUGUGUAACUUUUACUCUAUGUGAAUUAGGCAGAUUGACUAUGACAGGUUUAGGCAAGGCUUUAUAGUUAAUAAAGAAAUUUAUGUUAAAAGUCAUAUGCUCAGUUGCUCCACUAUCUAAUAUCCAUGAUUCACUAUCAAUUUGAAUGAAACAGACAAAGGAAUUUAAAAUUUUAGUUAUACCAGCACAACUCAGAUUUGUAGAGACUUCAGAGGAUCCUGCACCUUGCUAUCCUAUGUUGACCUGUUGUAGAAGCUGCAAUAAUUGUGUCAUAUUGUCCUGGGUAAGUGACUGUGUUCCUGGUACGUUAGUGUUCCUUGGAUUCCCUCUUCAUUUAUGUUAAACACGGCAUUUGCUUGUACAUUCCCUUGAAACUUCCUCUGCUUAGUGAACUUAAAAUCUGCAGGAAAUCCAUGAAUCCUAUAUCAUUUAUCAAUAGUAUGCCCAGAUUUUUUGCAGUAAGUAAAUAUUCUAGCAUUUUUUCUAAGAUAAAAACCUCUCUCAUGUCCCUUAUUUUUAUUGAACCUUCUCCCAUUUCCCUGCUGGUUUGUAGCAAGGAAAGAUCUUGAUUCUCUUGGAUAUGCAGGAGCAGCAUGAAUCUUUCUCUGCUUUUCAUCCUGUAUCACCGGUGAAUAAGUCUGUCCAAUGGAAGGUAAGG
rnacentral:lncRNA from 1 species